rnacentral:rRNA from 1 species
UACGGGGGGAGCAAGCGUUGUUCGGAUUUACUGGGCCUAAAGGGCGCGUAGGCGGUCAGCACAAGUCAGUUGUGAAAUCUCCGGGCUUAACUCGGAAAGGUCAACUGAUACUGUGCGACUAGAGUGCGGAAGGGGCAACUGGAAUUCUUGGUGUAGCGGUGAAAUGCGUAGAUAUCAAGAGGAACACCUGCGGCGAAGGCGGGUUGCUGGGCCGACACUGACGCUGAGGCGCGAAAGCCAGGGGAGCGAACGGG